ACAGCCUAAAUAUGUAAGACUCCUAUACCAUGAAAGAUGCUUCCAUUGCAGAUAGCACAUUAGGAUUAGUCACAUAUACAGCCUAAUUAUGUAAGACUCCUAUACCAUGAAAGAUGCUUCCAUUGCAGAUGCACAUUAGGAUAAGUCACAUAUUAUACAGCCUAAAUAUGUAACACUCCUAUACCAUGAAAGAUGCUUUCACACAUUAGGAUGUUGCACAUAUACAUCUAAAUAUGUUGCACUCCUAGACAGAGAAGAUGGAUUCAUGGCAGAUAGGAAGAGUCAACAUAUACAGCCCAGAUAUGUUCCACUCCCACACAAUGAAGAUGGUUUCAUGGUAGAUGGCACAUUAGGAUGUUUAACGUAUACAGCCUAAAUAUGUUACACUCCUAGACAAUGAAGAUGGUUUCAUGGUAGAUUGAUCACACAUCUGGAUACGUAGCAUAUACAGCCUAAAUAUGUUACACUCCUAGACAAUGAAGAUGCUUUCAUGGUAUAUAGCACACGAAGAUUUGUAUCAUAUACAGCCUAAAUAUGUUACACUCUUCGACAAUGAAGAUGGUUUCAUUGUAGAUAGCACAUUAGGAUUAGUCACAUAUACAGCCUAAAUAUGUAAGACUCCUAUACCAUGAAAGAUGCUUCCAUUGCAGAUAGCACAUUAGGAUUAGUCACAUAUACAGCCUAAAUAUGUAAGACUCCUAUACCAUGAAAGAUGCUUCCAUUGCAGAUGCACAUUAGGAUAAGUCACAUAUUAUACAGCCUAAAUAUGUAACACUCCUAUACCAUGAAAGAUGCUUUCACACAUUAGGAUGUUGCACAUAUACAUCUAAAUAUGUUGCACUCCUAGACAGAGAAGAUGGAUUCAUGGCAGAUAGGAAGAGUCAACAUAUACAGCCCAGAUAUGUUCCACUCCCACACAAUGAAGAUGGUUUCAUGGUAGAUGGCACAUUAGGAUGUUUAACGUAUACAGCCUAAAUAUGUUACACUCCUAGACAAUGAAGAUGGUUUCAUGGUAGAUUGAUCACACAUCUGGAUACGUAGCAUAUACAGCCUAAAUAUGUUACACUCCUAGACAAUGAAGAUGGUUUCAUGGUAGAUUGAUCACACAUCUGGAUACGUAGCAUAUACAGCCUAAAUAUGUUACACUCCUAGACAAUGAAGAUGGUUUCAUGGUAGAUUGAUCACACAUCUGGAUACGUAGCAUAUACAGCCUAAAUAUGUUACACUCCUAGACAAUGAAGAUGGUUUCAUGGUAGAUUGAUCACACAUCUGGAUACGUAGCAUAUACAGCCUAAAUAUGUUACACUCCUAGACAAUGAAGAUGCUUUCAUGGUAUAUAGCACACGAAGAUUUGUAUCAUAUACAGCCUAAAUAUGUUACACUCUUCGACAAUGAAGAUGGUUUCAUUGUAGAUAGCACAUUAGGAUUAGUCACAUAUACAGCCUAAAUAUGUAAGACUCCUAUACCAUGAAAGAUGCUUCCAUUGCAGAUAACACAUUAGGAUUAGUCACAUGUA